rnacentral:rRNA from 1 species
CACGUAGGGGGCGAGCGUUGUCCGGAUUUAUUGGGCGUAAAGAGCUCGUAGGCGGCUCGGUAAGUCGGGUGUGAAAACUCUAGGCUCAACCUAGAGACGCCACCUGAUACUGCUGUGGCUAGAGUCCGGUAGGGGAGCAUGGAAUUCCUGGUGUAGCGGUGAAAUGCGCAGAUAUCAGGAGGAACACCGGUGGCGAAGGCGGAUCUCUGGGCCUUACCUGACGCUCAGGCGCGAAAGCUAGGGGAGCGAACUGG